rnacentral:rRNA from 1 species
AACGAGGGCUUCGUAGUAGUAUCCGUCUUUACUAGGCUGUAAAGGGAGACUAGGCGGUUCCUUGGUUAAUUGCAAAUUAAACAAAAAUUGUGAUUAAAGUUUUUCUUAGGAACUUUGAGGAAAGCGGUCGACGACGGUUAAAUAUAGCGGAGCAGUGUAAAUGCUUAGAGGCUAGACGGACCACCACGUAGCGGUUGCAGUAAUCGAUGCUUUAUUAUUAUUUUCCUUGACGCUGAACAUCGGAAAGUAUGGGGAGCAAACCGGG